UACGGAGGAUCCAAGCGUUAUCCGGAAUCAUUGGGUUUAAAGGGUCCGUAGGCGGUUUGGUAAGUCAGUGGUGAAAGCCCAUCGCUCAACGGUGGAACGGCCAUUGAUACUGCCAGACUUGAAUUAUUAGGAAGUAACUAGAAUAUGUAGUGUAGCGGUGAAAUGCUUAGAGAUUACAUGGAAUACCAAUUGCGAAGGCAGGUUACUACUAAUGGAUUGACGCUGAUGGACGAAAGCGUGGGUAGCGAACGGG
rnacentral:rRNA from 1 species